GAUUCUGGCUCAGGAUGAACGCUAGCUACAGGCUUAACACAUGCAAGUCGAGGGGAAACGAUAUUGGAAGCUUGCUUCCGAUAGGCGUCGACCGGCGCACGGGUGAGUAACGCGUAUCCAACCUGCCCACCACUUGGGGAUAACCUUGCGAAAGUAAGACUAAUACCCAAUGAUAUCUCUAGAAGACAUCUGAAAGAGAUUAAAGAUUUAUCGGUGAUGGACGGGGAUGCGUCUGAUUAG
rnacentral:rRNA from 1 species